rnacentral:rRNA from 1 species
AUGGAGGAAACUCUGAUGCAGCAAUGCCGCGUGAAGGAUGACGGUUUUCGGAUUGUAAACUUCUUUUAUAUACCAAGAUAAUGACGGUAGUAUAUGAAUAAGCACCGGCUAACUCCGUGCCAGCAGCCGCGGUAAUACGGAGGGUGCAAGCGUUACUCGGAAUCACUGGGCGUAAAGGGUACGUAGGUGUUCUAAUAAGUUGGAUGUGAAAUCCUAUGGCUUAACCAUAGAAGUGCAUUCAAAACUGUUAGAAUAGAGUUUGGGAGGGGUAAGUGGAAUUAGUGGUGUAGGGGUAAAAUCCGUAGAUAUCACUAGGAAUACCAAAAGCGAAGGCGACUUACUGGAACAAUACUGACACUGAGGUACGAAAGCGUGGGGAGCAAACAGGAUUAGAUACCCUGGUAGUCCACGCCCUAAACGAUGAAUGCUAAUCGUUGUGAGGCUUUGACCUUGCAGUGAUGCAGUUAACACAUUAAGCAUUCCGCCUGGGGAGUACGGUCGCAAGAUUAAAACUCAAAGAAAUAGACGGGGACCCGCACAAGCGGUGGAGCAUGUGGUUUAAUUCGAAGAUACGCGAAGAACCUUACCUAGCCUUGACAUUGAUAGAAUCUUAUAGAAAUAUAGGAGUGCCUUUCGGGGAACUUGAAAACAGGUGCUGCACGGCUGUCGUCAGCUCGUGUCGUGAGAUGUUGGGUUAAGUCCCGCAACGAGCGCAACCCUUAUCUUUAGUUACUAACGGUUCGGCCGAGGACUCUAAAGAGACUGCCCUCGUAAGGGGGAGGAAGGUGAGGACGACGUCAAGUCAUCAUGGCCCUUACGGCUAGGGCUACACACGUGCUACAAUGGGGUGUUACAAUGAGAUGCAAUGUCGCGAGGCGGAGCAAAACUAUAAAGCACCUCCCAGUUCGGAUUGGAGUCUGCAACUCGACUCCAUGAAGUUGGAAUCGCUAGUAAUCGCGAAUCAGCCAUGUCGCGGUGAAUACGUUCCCGGGUCUUGUACUCACCGCCCGUCACACCAUGGGAGUUGAAUUCACCUGAAGUCGGAAUACUAAAUUAGUUACCGCCCACGGUGGGUUCAGCGACUGGGGUGAAGUCGUAACAAGGUAACCGUAGGAGAACCUGCGGUUGGAUCACCUCCUUU